rnacentral:misc_RNA from 1 species
GUAAAUAUUUCGUCACACCUCACGAGAAUAGAAGAUAUUAAGAAGAAAUUGAAAAGAAUUAGGGAAGAGAUAGAAGAAUAGAGUCACAUUAGAGAGAAUAAAGAGAGGAAAGGAAGGAAAAGAAGAGAGGAAGAUAAGAAUAAAAAGAAACCUGGUAUUCGGGAGACUAUCAUUGAUCUGCCAUUGAUGAAGCAUUCCAGUUGUUGUCUAGUGAUCAAAGGGCUCUGAUUCCAAUUUGUUACAGAA